CAGGAUGAACGCUGGCGGCGUGCCUAAUACAUGCAAGUCGAGCGAACGGACGAGAAGCUUGCUUCUCUGAUGUUAGCGGCGGACGGGUGAGUAACACGUGGAUAACCUACCUAUAAGACUGGGAUAACUUCGGGAAACCGGAGCUAAUACCGGAUAAUAUUUUGAACCGCAUGGUUCAAAAGUGAAAGACGGUCUUGCUGUCACUUAUAGAUGGAUCCGCGCUGCAUUAGCUAGUUGGUAAGGUAACGGCUUACCAAGGCAACGAUGCAUAGCCGACCUGAGAGGGUGAUCGGCCACACUGGAACUGAGACACGGUCCAGACUCCUACGGGAGGCAGCAGUAGGGAAUCUUCCGCAAUGGGCGAAAGCCUGACGGAGCAACGCCGCGUGAGUGAUGAAGGUCUUCGGAUCGUAAAACUCUGUUAUUAGGGAAGAACAUAUGUGUAAGUAACUGUGCACAUCUUGACGGUACCUAAUCAGAAAGCCACGGCUAACUACGUGCCAGCAGCCGCGGUAAUACGUAGGUGGCAAGCGUUAUCCGGAAUUAUUGGGCGUAAAGCGCGCGUAGGCGGUUUUUUAAGUCUGAUGUGAAAGCCCACGGCUCAACCGUGGAGGGUCAUUGGAAACUGGAAAACUUGAGUGCAGAAGAGGAAAGUGGAAUUCCAUGUGUAGCGGUGAAAUGCGCAGAGAUAUGGAGGAACACCAGUGGCGAAGGCGACUUUCUGG
rnacentral:rRNA from 1 species